UGUUUUAGGUGACUUGGUCCUAAUUCAACCC
rnacentral:piRNA from 1 species